GCAGAGCCGUCUCCGAGCCUCCUGGGGGAGAAGGCUGUCAGCUCCACCAGGCCAGAAGUCUGUGUCUGGCUGGCUCGCUGCUGUACCCCAGAUGGCUGAAACAGCGCCUGUCCCACAGCAGGUGCCUCAUAAAUAGCACAGAGCUGUCCUGACUCACAGCCUGCGUGUCCUCUGCUUCAGGUGAAGUUCUGGUCAUGGCUGAGGCUUCACCCAGAGGCCCUCUCCUCCAGGAAGUCUCCCUGGAGUGUCCCGUGGGCCACACCCUCUCCUGUCAAGGCCUGUCGAGGACGCUUGAUCUGUUUCCACUCUGUCGCCACCUGUUCCUGAGUCGGUCACCGUGGACUCCUCCACAGCCCUCGGUCCCUAGGGACUGGCUGUGGCACUGGAUCCUAGCAGGUGCCAAAUAGACGUUUCCGAAGAAAUGCAGGCGUGAAGGGGUGAAUGGCUGGGGAGGUGGGGGAGCAAGGGAGAGGGAACCGUAACAGCUGCUAAAAGGGACGAGAGCGUCCCUCAGCCAGGCUGUGCGGUGCGGCCCGCCUGCACCUGCUCCCUCCAUCUCAACAUCCCCCCGAGGCAGCCCUGGUCAUCGUCAGGCCCACUUUACCAAACACGGGGGUUCUUUUAACCAAUGGGGUCCAUGCUGUCUUGUUAGCACACUCUUAUUGGC
rnacentral:lncRNA from 1 species